AUUGAACGCUGGCGGCAUGCUUUACACAUGCAAGUCGAACGGUAACAGGCCUUCGGGUGCUGACGAGUGGCGAACGGGUGAGUAAUGCAUCGGAACGUACCCAGAGGUGGGGGAUAACGCAGCGAAAGCUGUGCUAAUACCGCAUGUGAUCUGAGGAUGAAAGCGGGGGACCGAGCAGCAAUGUUUGGCCUCGCGCCUUUGGAGCGGCCGAUGUCGGAUUAGCUAGUUGGUGGGGUAAAGGCCUACCAAGGCGACGAUCCGUAGCUGGUCUGAGAGGACGACCAGCCACAGUGGGACUGAGACACGGCCCAGAGUCCUACGGGAGGCAGCAGUGGGGAAGUGUGGAAAAUGGGCGGAAGCCUGAUCCAGCAAUGCCGCGUGCGGGAAGAAGGCCUUCGGGUUGUAAACCGCUUUUGGCAGGAACGAAACGGUGUCCGCUAAUACCGGGCGCUAAUGACGGUACCUGCAGAAUAAGCACCGGCUAACUACGU
rnacentral:rRNA from 1 species